UUUUGGACAAUGGGGGAAACCCUGAUCCAGCUAUCCCGCGUGUAUGCUGAAGGCCUUCGCGUUGUAAAGUACUUUUGGCAGAGAAGAAAAGGCAUCCCCUAAUACGGGAUUCUGCUGACGGUAUCUCCAGAAUCAGCACCGGCGCACUACGUUCCAGCAGCCGAGGUAAUACGUAGGGUGCAAGCGUUAAUCGGAAUUACUGGGCGUAAAGCGGGUGUAGGCGGUUCGGAAAGAAAGAUGUGAAAUCCCAGGGCUCAACCUUGGAACUGCAUUUUUAACUGCCGAGCUAGAGUAUGUCAGAGGGGGGUAGAAUUCCACGUGUAGCAGUAAAAAGCGUAGAUAUGUGGAGGAAUACCGAUGGCGAAGGCAGCCCCCAGGGAUAAUACUAACGAUCAGACACGAAAGCGUGGGGAGCAAACAGG
rnacentral:rRNA from 1 species